rnacentral:tmRNA from 2 species
GGGAGUGCAAAGGUUUCGACGGGGUUCUCAGGUUAUAGGUAGCAGGUCAGGGUGACCGCUGUGAGAGGUCAAACACAUCGUUUAGAUGGAAACAGAAAUUACGCUUUAGCUGCUUAAUAAGUCAGCUCACCUCUGAACAUUCUCUUCUGUAAGCGUGUUCAACUGAGGUGUCACUAAAAUACAGAUUACCCUAAGUGAUUUCUCUAAGCUUUAGGGGACAUUCUAGAGGAUAGCUUUAAUCAGCCCUGUCUGUGGGAUUGGUUACUGCGAAGUUCAAUAGCAGACUAAGCUUGUAGAAGCCUAUGGCGCUGGUAAUUUCGGACACGGGUUCGAUUCCCGUCACUUCCACCA